AAUGAAUGAAACAUGAGGCCACAGCUCCACCGUGAGUCUGAAUCAGCAGUUUAGGGAAGGCCCUUUCCUGUUCCAGCAUGAGCAAGCUCAUACCUUGUAUCCGAUGGUCUUUCUGUAGUGCAGGAUCUCCAUCUCCAGCAGCUCGAACAGACGUGGUGGGAAAAACUGGAAAUCCUGAAUGUUGGGCUGCUUAGGGGGUCGAGGAGCCUGAAGAGCAAACACACACACACACAGAGCAUUGAGUAAAUGCAGGAUGGAGUCGAUGUCCUCGUCGGUCAGCUCACUGUCCUUAGAGGCGAAGACGUGCGUCGCGCCGUGUCUGAUCAUCUGCAGCA